CACACUCUUCCAUUUCUGAGAAACCUUAAACAUCAUCAUAAAGCUCUGUCCUGGUUCAUGUUGUAGAGGAGCAUCAACUGUGAAGCAUAUUGAAGGACUAUGACUGAUUUAGAUGUUUUUAAUCUGUUAACCUCCACCAGGUUAGCAGUAACCAGUGUAGGAUUAUAGGUAGGGUUACUCUUUGACAUAUUCAAAUUGGAAAAUUUAACAAAUGUUUAUGUUAUGGUACUUUAGGAUGCUUUAACCUUGUCCCACUCCAGUGUUAUACUCAUCUCAUUUUGAUGCACCACAGUCACAUUAUUAACACUUUGUGGAGCUAAAGAUAACAGAGGAAAGUGGUUUU